rnacentral:rRNA from 1 species
CACGUAGGGUCCAAGCGUUGUCCGGAUUUAUUGGGCGUAAAGAGCUCGUAGGCGGCUUGGUAAGUCGAGUGUGAAAACUCUGGGCUCAACUCAGAGACGCCACUCGAUACUGCCAUGGCUUGAGUCCGGUAGGGGAGUGUGGAAUUCCCGGUGUAGCGGUGAAAUGCGCAGAUAUCAGGAGGAACACCGGUGGCGAAGGCGGGUCUCUGGGCCGAUACUGACGCUGAGGAGCGAAAGCGUGGGGAGCGAACAGG